rnacentral:snRNA from 1 species
GGAUGUAAGGGUGAUCUGGCUGAGACAUCUGUUACCCCAUUUAUUGCCAGUGUUGAUUCGGCUGAUCUAGUUGGCUAGGUGGAUGUCUCUUUCCUCUCUCACCACUCUGUGUGCCUUGUGUAUCCAUCCCAAAGUUGCAUGCUUGGUCAGAGAGGAUGACCAUCCCUGCUAGAGGAGGACUGUUCUUCGGUCAAGGGUGUAUGAGUAGCACACCCCUAGCUAGAGCCUCCAAACAAACUCCCAAGAAGACAGGAUUAAAGAAACAUCAGAGCAACUGACAUAUACUCUUUCUUAAAGAAGAAAGCUGGGGCAGCCCUUACUU